UGAGGAAUGUUGGUCAAUGGGGGCAACCCUGAACCAGCCAAGUCGCGUGAAGGAUGAAGGUCUUAUGGAUUGUAAACUUCUUUUAUACAGGAAUAAAUUGGGGGACGUGUCCCCUUUUGCAUGUACUGUAUGAAUAAGGAUCGGCUAACUCCGUGCCAGCAGCCGCGGUAAUACGUAGGGGGCAAGCGUUGUCCGGAUUUACUGGGUGUAAAGGGUGCUCAGGCGGAUUUGUAAGUCAGAGGUGAAAUCUUACAGCUUAACUGUGAAACUGCCUUUGAUACUGCAAGCCUAGAGUAUGGAAGAGAGUGAUGGAAUAUCUGGUGUAGCAGUGAAAUGCGUAGAUAUCAGAUAGAACACCAAUGGCGAAGGCAGUCACUUGGUCCAUUACUGACGCUAAAGCACGAAAGCGUGGGUAGCAAACA
rnacentral:rRNA from 1 species